GUUUUCUUUGUUUGUACAUAUACUAAAAUUGGAAUGAUACAAAGAAUAGCCUGGUCCCUAUGCAAGGGUGAUAUGCACAUUUGUGGUUCAUUUCAUGUUUUG